UACGAAGGGAGCUAGCGUUGUUCGGAAUCACUGGGCGUAAAGCGCACGUAGGCGGAUGUGUCAGUCAGGGGUGAAAUCCCGGAGCUCAACUUCGGAACUGCCUUUGAUACAGCACGUCUUGAGUCCGAUAGAGGUGGGUGGAAUUCCUAGUGUAGAGGUGAAAUUCGUAGAUAUUAGGAAGAACACCGGUGGCGAAGGCGGCCCACUGGAUCGGUACUGACGCUGAGGUGCGAAAGUGUGGGGAGCGAACAGG
rnacentral:rRNA from 1 species